AUUGAACGCUGGCGGCAGGCCUAACACAUGCAAGUCGAGCGAGCGGCGGACGGGGGAGUAAUGUCUGGGAAACCGCCUGAAGGAGGGGGAUAACAACUGGAAACGGUAGCUAAUAUCGCAUACCAUCAGAUGUGCCCAGAUGGGAUUAGCUAGUAGGUGGGGUAACGGCUCACCUAGGCGACGAUCCCUAGCUGGUUUGAGAGGAUGACCAGCCACACUGGAAGUGAGACACGGUCCAGACUCCUACGGGAGGAAGCAGUGGGGAAUUUUGGACAAGGGGCGAAAGCCUGAUCCAGCCAUGCCGCGUGUAUGAAGAAGGCCUUCGGGUUGUAAAGUACUUUCGGCAGGGAGGCGUUACCCGCAGAAUAAGCACCGGCUAACUCCGUGCCAGCAGCCGCGGUAAUUC
rnacentral:rRNA from 1 species